UUUGUUCACCCACCAAUAGGGAACGUGAGCUGGGUUUAGACCGUCGUGAGACAGGUUAGUUUUACCCUACUGAUGCCCGCGUCGCAAUAGUAAUUCAACCUAGUACGAGAGGAACCGUUGAUUCGCUGUCUGUGUGUGCUGACGGACAGUCUAUUGUUGUUCAAUCCCAGAAUUGUAGUCAAAUAAAUUUAGUCUCAGAUACUGGGUACUUCAUAUAUGAUAUAAUCCAUAAACAAAAAAAGGAGUAAAAACCUCCUAUUGAACCCAGGUUAAUAGGGGAAAAAGAUGUGCCAGUUGCCACUGCACUAAAUAGAUUCUUUACAAUAUUUGCUGAGUCAAAAGUAUAUAAACUCUCUGCGCUGUAAAAAUAAUUGUGU
rnacentral:ncRNA from 1 species